CUCCUGAUGACGACCGGCGCACGGGUGAGUAACGCGUACACGAUCUACCCUUAGGAAGGGGAUAGCCCUGGGAAACUGGGAGUAAUACCCUAUAGUAUUAGAGAAUAUAAAUGUUUCUAAUUAAAGCUACGGUGCCUAAGGAUGAGUGUGCGUCCCAUUAGCUAGUUGGUAAGGUAACGGCUUACCAAGGCGACGAUGGGUAGGGGGCGUGAGAGCGUGGACCCCCACACGGGUACUGAGACACGGACCCGACUCCUACGGGAGGCAGCAGUAAGGAAUAUUGGACAAUGGGCGAAAGCCUGAUCCAGCCAUUCCGCGUGCAGGAUGACGGCCCUCUGGGUUGUAAACUGCUUUUGUAUGGGAAGAAACCUCGAGAUUUAUCUUGAGCUGACGGUACCAUAAGAAUAAGCACCGGCUAACUCCGUGCCAGCAGCCGCGGUAAUACGGAGGGUGCAAGCGUUAUCCGGAAUUACUGGGUUUAAAGGGUGCGUAGGCGGGCUAUUAAGUCAGAGGUGAAAGCUAUGAGCUUAACUUAUAAAUUGCCUUUGAUACUGAUAGUCUUGAAUUAGGUUGAGGUUAGCGGAAUGUGGCAUGUAGCGGUGAAAUGCAUAGAUAUGCCAUAGAACACCAAUUGCGAAGGCAGCUGGCUA
rnacentral:rRNA from 1 species